ACUCUAUGAUAAGCUCCUUUUUCAGUUUUUAUUGCUGAUUUACUCCAAAUAACAGUUGUAUACAGACCAGCAUUUAAAGAUGUCAAGCAAUUAUGUUGCAUUCCGGUUCAAAACACCAUAUCUGCAUUCAAUGUAAGCCCCAAUGGCCUGGUUAGUAGACUCUGCAAAUUGUUAUUGGCCUUGCAAUCUAACAGAGGAAGAAGAAGAGAAGUUAAUUGAAUCUUGUGUUGAACCUCUUACUGGAGUAUAUGAGUGGCAGCUCUACCAGGGUAGUAUUCUAAGAAAGAAUAUUUCACUUUCAGAAGCCAAGAGUAAGGCAGCUCUAGACAAGAAAAAUACAUUCGUGGGUAGUGUAACAACUACUGAAGAUGAAGCGCAACCAAAAAGAAAGGUUCGCUUAUCAGCUAAGGCCAGGGAUUUACUGCAUCCUGCUUAUUGGGACAAUAAGGAGGAUGAAAAUGAGAACAGUUUUAGAUUGUCUCCAGCUCCACCAUUUCCAACUUACAAGCGAAAGAACACAGUGGAAAACAAUGCAGAUAAUCGAAAGUCAAUGAAGAUCACCCACACUGCAAAAAAAAAAUAUAGUAAAAUCUUGUCUUCUCCUGAAAUUAAUGUUACUUAUACUCCUGAAACCUCAGCAGACAAACAACUCACUCUCCAAAUCACAAGUGAAAAUAGAAAUAAAUCUCUUGAAAUCUUUUCUCACCAAAUAGAAUCCAAUGUCACCUCUGGAUCUUCAAUGUUUGAAGAUAUGUAUUCUUCUGUUAUGAAUAGAGUACAAAGUUCUACUGACAGAGCAUCCAGUACUUCUAGAUUGUCUGUGUUAGGGAACUGGUCUCCUGCCAAGAGUAGAGAACAAAGUCCUACUGCCAUGGCUGCAGGACUUACUUCAUCACCAAUCAGGACUAGUAGCCCCAACAUAAGAGUAACAGCUGAUGCUGACUCUGAUGUGUGGUGUAAUGGAACCUUGAAAAAUUUGUAUAAACACCGAAAGAAAGCUAGUGAUAUGUCUCAAACAGAAAAAGUUGCUUUUGGAACGUUUAAAGGCACUCAAGCUUGAUACAUUAGCUACAACAACUGCAGCUAAAAUGAUUAUGAGUGAAAUCUUCUCUCAAGACAUGCUGAAAAACAUGUGCUAUGCUGGGCACAAAACAUAUAAGGAGAAGAAGAUGGCAGUCAAAAAUGGAAUUGUGUACAUCACACUGAUAGCUGUGCUAAAAAAACUGGGACACAAAGACGUAAUGAAGAUCGAAAAAGGUCUUAAAGACGCCAUGUACAAGGCAAAUGAUAAUAUUGCGAAGGAGAUCAGGAAAAAAAAAUUGGAAUAAAAAUUGUUCUUAUAAA
rnacentral:misc_RNA from 1 species